GGUAUGUUCUGGAUUCGAUUGAUAAAAUCAAUUGAUAGAAGCAUGUCGUGGGUAGGCACGUUAAAACCUGAGGUUUAUUUAAAUAUAAACGCAAACAAUCAAACUUAUAGCUUCGCUUGCUAAUUAAAGCGUAAGCGCCCAUCUUGAAAUAGAUGGUUUAUUCUAUAAAUUAUUUUGUCUACGAAUAUUUAUAGAUUUAGAAAGUAGACUUUAUUGAUAUAACUGCUGACUAUAUCAACAAGAAUUAAGCUAUAAUUAUUAAGGUUUUGUUAAUUUACUUUAAUAAUCGAAUCUAUAAAUUAUACUAAACAUGUAGAAACUUGAUAAAGAUUCUGUUAACACGUGGGUUCAAAUCCCACCAUAUCCACCA
rnacentral:tmRNA from 1 species